AGAGUUUGAUCCUGGCUCAGAACGAACGCUGGCGGCAGGCUUAACACAUGCAAGUUGAACGUGAUUUGUUGGGUGCUUGCACCGAGCAAUGAAAGUAGCGCACUGGUGAGUAACACGUGGGAACGUACCUUUUGGUGGGGAACAACAGUUGGAAACGACUGCUAAUACCGCAUAAGCCCUGAGGGGGAAAGAUUUAUCGCCGAAAGAACGGCCCGCGGAAGAUUAGGUAGUUGGUGGGGUAACGGCCUACCAAGCCGACGAUCUAUAGCUGGUCUGAGAGGACGAUCAGCCACAUUGGAACUGAGACACGGUCCAAACUCCUACGGGAGGCAGCAGUGAGGAAUAUUGGGCAAUGGAGGCAACUCUGACCCAGCCAUGCCGCGUGAGUGAAGAAGGUUUUCGGAUUGUAAAGCUCUUUCGGGUGUGACGAUGAUGACGGUAGCACCUAAAGAAGCCCCGGCUAACUUCGUGCCAGCAGCCGCGGUAAUACGAAGGGGGCAAGCGUUGUUCGGAAUUACUGGGCGUAAAGGGAGUGUAGGCGGUUAUGUAAGAUAGUGGUGAAAUCCCAGAGCUUAACUUUGGAAUUGCCAUUAUGACUAUGUGGCUAGAAUUACAGAGAGGAUAGUGGAAUACCCAGUGUAGAGGUGAAAUUCGUAGAUAUUGGGUAGAACACCAGUGGCGAAGGCGACUAUCUGGCUGUAUAUUGACGCUGAGGCUCGAAAGCAUGGGGAUCAAACAGGAUUAGAUACCCUGGUAGUCCAUGCUGUAAACGAUGAGUGCUUGUUGUCGGUGUAAAAUCGGUGACGAAGUUAACGCGUUAAGCACUCCGCCUGGGGAGUACGG
rnacentral:rRNA from 1 species